rnacentral:siRNA from 1 species
AGCACAUUGGUUCCUGAAUGGCU